CAAAAUGGAAGGUCAGCUGAAAAGACACAAAUUGCAGCUGAAAAGUAGAAUUUCACGAACACCAUCUCAAUACGUCCGAUCAGUCAUUGAUGUGUCUAUCAAAGCUCAAGGUAGCUGGAGAACCAUCACUGGAGAGACCCCAAUUUCUGAUCCUUCUUCUAUUGGGAGUGUGUGUUUUCCCCCCUCAAACAAGAGAAGAAAAAAACACCAGGAACAAAUUUCUGAGCCGUAGGAAUCGUUCAGCAACUCUCGUCUGUUGUAUCUCCUGCACCUCGCCACACCUACCAGCUUAGCUUGGAGAUGUAAAGCUCGAUUAGCAACUUCAAAUGAAACCACUGUAAUCAUCAAGCAUACCAUUUCAACACCUCAAGCUCUCACCAGGUGCAUGAUAUACUUAAUUAUCAAUCGAACAUAUUUCAGACAUCAUAAGCAUAAUGGUAACUAUUCUCUUGUUCGAAUACAUUGUUCUCAUUAUUACUCGAACUACAUUGGCAAAAUAUGAUUGAUACGCUAGACUUCCCUACUUGUCUAAUUCUGAUCCUGCUUUUCUAACUUGAAAUGAGAUUGAUAGACCUUAUGUUGAACCUUCGUGCAGUGAAUUAUAUUUUAUUGAACCUACCAAUAAAAGUUGUAUAGAUUCAAUUCAUUUGUCUUCUUCUUAUGUGAGGAGUUCCGCUUUUAUCCAAGUUUAGGAUUCUUCGUCCCUCCAUAGGAAUGUCUUGAAAAUGGCUAAAGUGAUAAUCACCUGCAAAAUUAAAAACUAGGUUAGCAAAAUAAUCCGCAAGAGUAUUUCCUUCUCAAAAGGUGUGUUGUAUACGCGCCGAUAAGGAUCUUCCCAAGUAGUUUAUGGAAUUGACCUCCAAAGUCACACUCCAAGGGACAUUCCACCCUCCUUCCAAAAUUUGUACCAUGGCGAUAGAAUCUGUUUCAAUAAUGACAUGUGAUAACAGAUGCUCCUUACAAAAAAACAACCCUUCUCUAAUAGCCCUUGCUUCAGCUACUAGAUUAGAGGUAUUAUGUAUUUUGAAACCCUUCACCACAACUAAUGAACCAGAGUGAUCCCUAAUACAAAAGGCUGCAGAACUAGGUCCUGGAUUACCCCUAGAUGCUCCAUCAGUAUUA